GACGAACGCUGGCGGCGUGCUUAACACAUGCAAGUCGAACGGAAAGGCCCUGCUUUUGUGGGGUGCUCGAGUGGCGAACGGGUGAGUAUCACGUGAGUAACCUGCCCUUGACUUUGGGAUAACUUCAGGAAACUGGGGCUAAUACCCGAUAGGAGCUCCUGCUGCAUGGUGGGGGUUGGAAAGUUUCGGCGGUUGGGGAUGGACUCGCGGCUUAUCAGCUUGUUGGUGGGGUAGUGGCUUACCAAGGCAUUGACGGGUAGCCGGCCUGAGAGGGUGACCGGGCACAGUGGGACUGGGGUACGGGCCAGACUCCUACGGGGGGCAGCAGUGGGAAAUAGUGCACGAUGGGCGGAAGCCGGAUGCAGCAACGCCGCGUGCGGGAUGACGGCCUUCGGGUUGUAAACCGCGUUCGCCUGUAACGAAGAGUGAGUGACGGUAAUGGGUAAAGAAGCACCGGCUAACUACGUG
rnacentral:rRNA from 1 species